rfam:Xenopus tropicalis strain Nigerian Chr03_contig_3521, whole genome shotgun sequence.
GGCGCUGUGGCUUAGUUGGUUAAAGCGCCUGUCUAGUAAACAGGUGAUCCUGAGUUCGAAUCUCAGCAGUGCCU